AUUCAGAGUAUUCAGUAUUCAUUUCCUUUAGGAUUGCCGGGUUGUGCUCCUUACUGUCUGAAGGAUUCUAAAGGGUCAUCUCUCUAGCACCACAAUUAGAAUGCAUCACUCAGCCUUCCUAAUGAUCCAACUCAUACAUCUGUACACGGCUACUGGAAAAACCAUGGUUUUGACUCUGCAGAAUUUUGUCAGCAAAGUGAUGUCUCUUCUUUUUAAUAUGCGGUCGAUGUUCAUCAUGGGUUUCCCUGGGGGCUCAGCGGUUGAGAAUCUGUCUGCAGUGCAGGGGAAUUAGGACACCUGGGUUCAAUCCCUGGGUCGGGAAGGUUCCCUGGAGGAGGGCAUGGCAACCCACUCCAGUAUUCUCGCCUGGAGAAUCCCCUGGACAGAGGAGCCUGGCGGGCCUUGGUCCAUGGGGUCGUAAAGAGUAUGCUGAGAGUCAUCACCUCCAAAACAGAAUCUCUGGCCAAUGGGCUGUCUCUCUAGCUUUACUCAUCUCAAGUAAAAUCUGUUCCCUGGGCUCAGAAGCCACGUGAGAUAACAAAGGAAAGUUGACGCAGUUGUGCUUUAAGCAACAAUUUGGAGCGAGAUCUUAAUUUGUUUGGGCCAAGUGACUGCAGGGAAUGAAAUGGGGUAGGGUGAUGAAGGAAAUGAGAUGAUGAAUUUAUUGCCCCGGCCACCUCCCUGCCCCCAGGUAGCCGACUUCAGUAGGGCUGGCUGGUAUCAACGGCGAGUUUAUAGGCUCACUUGUAACAACAUCCUUUGUGUGGUAUGAGCAACUUGGUGGGCAAAUCAGACAGCAUGGCCAAAUAUUCAUUUCUCAGAGUGGAUUGAGGGAGACAAGAGGAAAGAAUGAUGAACCAUGGGUUAGUUGUGAGUCAGUUUCUAAAAUCUCAGUAUUUCUUCACGAGGGGUGUGUGUGUGAAUUCUUUUCUUUAUCUGAGAAUUGGCUUUCUAGGUGAGGAAAUAUCAUGAGAGACUCCUUGUGACAUGUGACAAGAGGUUGGGAGUGAAUGGGGUUAAGGUCAUUUUCCAAAUGUUUCACACAAAGCGUUUGUUUAAGAGGAGAGCAGUGGCAUUAAAAAACUGAACUAAGUGGUUGGAAUAAAGGUUUCAGUUUUUGAAAUGUGAAGAGACUCUGGGAUGUGUGUUCAUCCUAGCCUGUGGUCACAGGCCACUCAUAAACUCAUAGGAUUUGAACCGUGUCUUUCUAAUGUCUUUUGCUUUCUGCCUUUGUAUGUGGUGGAGUCCCCAGUUCCAGUGACUAAAGUUCCUAAGUAACAGUUCUCUGAGAAAAGAAGCUCUCUAGAAAAGAGCAGUGCCUGGGAACCUGAUCUAAAAUUUUAAUAUAGCCUGUGAUGUAAUUUUUGUUAGCUUCACCCAAGAUAUGAUCAUUCAAAGAAUCUAGAGAGAUGCACCUACUUCGGUAUCUACUAUUGGAUUUUUCAAAUGAACAUACAAUAAGAUUGGCCUGGUUUUCUUUCUUAUUAUUUAUCUAUUUAUUGGUGGCUGCACUGAGUCUUUGUUGCUGCACAGGCUUUCUCUAGUUGUGGAGAAGAAGGACUACUCUCUGGUGGUAGUGCAUGUGCUUCUCAUUUUAGAGACUUCUCUUGUUGCAGAGCAUGGACUCUAGGCUCAAGGGCUUCAGUAGUCGAAGCCGGUUGGUUCAGUAGUGACACACAGUCUUAGUUGGCUUGCGGCAUGUGGAAUCUUCCUGGACUAGGGACUGAAUGCCUUCCCUGUUGGCAUUGGCAUGUGGGUUCUGUUUUAUUUUUUUAAUCAUUAAUUUAGUUUAAUCGGAGGACAAUUACUAUACCAUAUUGUGAUGGUUUCUGCAAUAUAUCAACAUGAAUCGGCCACAGGUAUACAUGUGUCCUCCCCUCCUGAACCCCCGUCCCACCUCCCUCCCCACCCUAUCCCUCUGGGUUGUCCCAGAGCACUGGCUUUGGGUGCCCUGCUUCAUGCAAUGAACUUGCACUGGUCAUCUGUUUUACAUAUGGGAAUGUGUAUGUUUCACUAUUAUUCUCUCAAAUGGUCCCACCCUCGCCUUCUUUCACCGAGUCGAAAAGUAUGUUCUGUACGUCUCUGUCUCCUUUGCUUCCCUGCAUGUAGAAUCGUUGCUACCGUCUUUCUAAAUUGCAUAAAUAUGCAUUAAUAGAAGUGUUUGUCUCUCUCUUUCUGACUUACUUCUCUCUGUAUAACAGGCUCCAGGUUCAUCCACCUCAUUAGCACUGAUUCAAAUGUGUUCUUUUUUUUUUUUUUUUCUUUUUUUGUGACCCCAUGGACUAUAGCCCUCCAUGCUCCUCUGUCCAUGAGAUUAUCCAGGCAAGAAUACUGGAGUGGGUUGCCAUUUCCUUCUCCAAAAUGUGUUCCUUUUUAUAGCUGAGUAAUAUUCCAUUGUGUAUAUGCACCACAACUUCCUCAUCCAUUCAUCUGCCAAUGGACAUCUAGGUUCCCUCCAUGUCCUAGCUGUUGUAAAUAGUGCUGCUGUGAACAUUGGGGUACAUGUGUCUGUUCACUUCUGGUUUCCUCGAGGUGUAUGCCCAGCAGUGGGAUUGCUGGGUCGUGUGGCAGUUCUGUUCCCAGUGUUUUAAGGAAUCACCACUCUCUUCUCCAUAGUGGCUGUACCAGUUUGCGUUCCCACCAACAGUGGAAGAAGGUUCCCUUUUCUCCACACCAUCUCCAGCAUUUAUUGUUUGUAGACUUUUUGAUGAUGGCCAUUCUGACCUGUGUGAGAUGAUACCUCACUGUGGUUUUGAUUUGCAGUUUUCUAAUAAUGAGUGAUGUUGAGCAUCUCUUCAUGUGUUUGGUAGCCACCUCUAUGUCUUUGGAGAAAUGUCUGUUUAGAUCUCCUGUCCCCUUGUUGUGGGGUUGUUUGUUUUUCUGGUAUUGAGCUGCAUGGGCUGCUUGUAUAUUUUGGAGAUUCCUUCUUUGUCAGUUGUUUCAUUUGCUGUUAUUUUCUCCAAUUCUGAGGGCCGUCUUUUCACCUCGCUUACAGUUUCCUUCAUUGUGCACAAGCAUUUAAGUUAAAUUUGGUCUCUUUUGUUUAUUUGUGUUUUUAUCUCCAUUACUCUGGGAGGUGGGCCAUAGAGGAUCUUGCUGUGAUUUAUGUCAGAGAGUGUUCUGCGUACGGUUUCCUCUUAAGAGUUUUAUAGUUUUUGGUCUCACGUUUAGAUCUUUAAUCCAUUUUGAGUUUCUUUUGUUGUGUGGUGUUAGAAAGUGCUCCAGGUUCAUUCUUUUACACGUAGUUGAGCAUUUCACCCAGCAUCACGUGUUGAAGAGACUUUGUGUACGCCAUUGUAUAUUUGUGCCUCGUUUGUCAAAGAUAACCUGUGCAUAGGUAUGUGGAUUUAUCUCCGGGUUCUCUAUUUUGUUCCAUUGAUCUAUAUUUCUGUCUUUCUGCCAUACUGUCUUCAUGACUGUAGCUUUGUAGUAUAGUCUGUAGUAUAGUCUGAAGUCAGGAAGGUUGAUUCCUCUAGUUCCAUUCUUCUUUCUUAAGAUUGCUUUGGGUAUUCAGAGUCUUUAGUGUUUCCAUACAAACUGAGAAAUUAUUUGUUCUAGUUGUGUGAAAAAUACCUUUGGUAGUUUGAUCUGGAUUGUGAUGAAUCUACAGAUUGCUUUGGGUAGUAGAGUCAUUUUCACUAUACUGAUUCUUCCAAUCCAAGAACAUGGUACACUUCUCCAUCUCUUUGUGUCAUCUUUGAUCGCUUUCAUCAGUUUUUUUAUAGUUUUCUGUACACAGGUCUCUUGUUCCUUUACGUACAUUUAUUCCUAAGUAUUUUAUUCUUUUCAUUGCAAUAGUGAAUGGGAUAGUUUUCUUAAUUACUCUUUCUGAUUUUUUGUUAUUAGUUUAUAGGAAUGCAAGGGAUUUCUGUGCAUUCAUUUUAUAUGGCAGGCACAUACUUUUUAAAAUGUUUUUAAUUUAUUUAUAUUAGUUGGAGACUACGUUACAAUAUUGCAGGCACAUUCUUAACCACUGGACCACGUGGGAAUUCCUGGCCUGCUUGUCCUUGGGUGUGCAGCUCUCUGGUCUCUGACACAUGGAGAGUUUCCAGUCAGCUGGAGAGUGGUAAACAAAGUAUUCUGUAUGUCGCCAUACGGUGGAAUAGCAUAAAUGGAUGAAAAGUGAUGAACUUCUGCUUUCUGCUACCACAUGGGUGAGCCUCCAAAGCAUUAAGCUAAGUGAAACAUCCCAGACACAAAAGGCCACUUCCUGCAGGAGUCCGUUGAUAUGAAAUGCCCCGAAAGGGCAAAUCUACAGAGAGCGAAAUCAGACGAGAGGAUGCCUGGGCUUGCAGGUCCUGUUGGGGAUCCACUGCUGAUGGGUACACAGAACCUUUAGUGGCGCUGGCGGUGUUCCACACCUGCACUGUGGUGGGGGUUGCACCACUGUGUGAAGGUGUUAAAAGUCAUUGCCCUGGGAGUGAUGGGUGUGAUUUGUGGUACAUAAUUAUACCUCAGGAAAGCAGUUUAGGAAGGUAAUGCAGAUGUCCAAGUGAGACAUGUGGGGAAAGACAUGCCAUUGCUUUGUAACAACGAGGAGUGCCCCUGCUCCUUCCACGUUCUGGGUCCGGCCUCCUCUACGUGUGCUAGAUGCUCCCUCCAGAAACAGUCACUGUGCACAUCAGGAUAGAAUCCCCAGGGAGCACACACGUCUAAUGUGUCUCUGUGUUGACUCAAGGGGCCCGUUGUGUGACCACAAGUCAGUGGCUCUGGACAGGCUCCCAGAACCCACCCUGCAUCUGAAAUUCCACUUCAUUGUUUUCCCAUUCUUCUCCAAUCACGUGGACCCAGCUUCCGUUUCCCUGGUAACAGAUCUCAGCCCUUAGCUCCAACCUCUGGUCACAGGAAUACCUGUAGCCUGGUGUGAGGCCCCCUGCCUGAGCUCAGCAACCCAGGAGGGAUGCUCAGCAGAGCAGUAACCAAGACAAUGGAACUUGAUCUAUCCUCCUUCUGCCACCAGGACUGAGGGGCAUUCCCUCCCCUCCAUCCACCUGAGUGUCUGGGUAUGCUAUUUUCUGUUCUCCAAACCAAAGAGACCAGGAUGCCAGUUCCAAAAGAAUCAUCAGGACUGUUGACUAGAAGACAGAAUGGAGAAUUGGAAUGAUCUUCACAGGUGAUGCAGAGCCCUGCCUUGGAUCUCACCUGCAGCAAAGCAAGCACCAAGAUCAGCUCCAGAGAACGAAAUUCCUAAACGACAGCCACCCAUCUGCCCAAAGACAGCAUUGUGUCAUUGAGCAGUGUGCCCCCUGUGAGUCCCAAGUGGGAAUGGGGUGGAAUCCUCCUUUCCCUGGUCUUCCUCUUCAUUUCUUGUCACACCUCCCUUGUCUCAGCCCUCUCACCUCUGCCUGCCGCUACCUCUGUGGGCGGUUCCCCACUGUGACUGGGAUGCUGUUUUCUUUGGCUUGUCUUUCAUUUGACCCAAGACUUCCCAUACAAUAUCCUGGUCAAAGGGGGCAUAGGGUAGAAUGUGUCCCUUGUCAAGUACAGUUAGGAUACUUUGGUGUCACAGAAGCCCCAAGCCCCUGAAAUAUAAAAACACAGGGAUAAAAAACACAAGAAUCAAAUAUGCCAAAGGUGCCAGAGAUGUUGGCUAAGAUGAGCACUGAAGAGUAUCUGCGGUAUCAGGAAGUAUCUAUUUUAAUGAUGGUCUUGACAAGGCCAGUUACAGUGGAAUGACUGGGACAAAAGCUUCAUGGAAGGGGGCUGAGUAAAGAAUACCUCAGCAGAAUUUGAAGCAGUUUUGUUCUGAAGGGCAACUGGUGAUGUGCCAGUAGCUGCAGAAGACGGUGGUAGAACAGGAUGGGUUUCCCCCUUUUUUGUGGAAUGAUGCAAUAUAGCGGGAGCAGGUGUUGGUUCAGGCGAGAGGGGUGAUAACUGCAGGUUGAAAGUCCCUGGGAAGGUGCAAGGCAUGGGAUUCUGGGAGAGGUGAGGGGCUGGGUGCAGUCAGUAGGACUCGGGCAGACGGGCAACAGACUGCCAGGGCAGAAACAUGCACUUUGGGAUUGGGAAACUUGAGAAAUCCCACUGAGUUGCUGCUUGCUACUCCGCGAAUUAUUGGCGGGUGGGGCUGGUGGUCAUUAGGAUGGAGAAAGGUUACUACUGUGUAGUGUAGUAGUGUAGGCAGGUGAGAGUGAAAACGAACAGCAGUUUUACUCUGGUCACGGGUUUAAGAAAAAACACUUCUGUAAAGUUUGCUCCUCAACGCUCAGGUGCUCAGACACAGGCAGGGAGUGCAUAGUCAGGAGUGUGCAAGGAGCCGAUCUGAUCGGGGAGGUGCCUGCCGGAUGGUAAUGGAAGGACUUGUUGUAGUGGAGGUGAGGGUUUCCAGGAUGUACUGGUAUCUGUGCACUGGCACUAGAGCUAGGGAGCUGGAGGACAGGACAUCAUGUUGAGGGUGAUGAGAGGGAGGAAGGCUAGAAACAGGACACCAUGAGGGGCGCGGUCUUUCCUGGGGGCCGAGGCCGGGGGCAGGGGGAUGCUCGGGUGGGGAGGAGGGGAACAUCGACGAGGACGGAGAGACUCCCGAGUGACCGGGUGAGCCUCGUGGGCACUGAGGACAGAUCAGAAUAGUGAGAGCGGAGGGAACGGUGAGUAUACGACGGGAGGAACGCGUUCACAGGCCUGGGGUGGACGGAAGGAGAAAUACAGGGGACUUGUACGGGCUCCGCACUUGUGGGCCUUUGGCAGUGGGCGACAGGACUGCGACAUGCACCAUCAGGUUCCUCAAUGAAGACUUUGAAACAGGGUCCAGGAGAAAACUCUCAACUGACCCCUGCCAGGAGACUGGCGCGGGCGUCACUGGGUUGCUCCGCGCAGGCCCAGAAACAGCCAAUCGCGGCACAGCACCGCCCACCAAGCUCCGGAUGUGUGAGACUCUGCCUUUCUGCUCGAGUUUCCUUGGUUUCGCGAGCCGCUGGAGUCCGCGGUCCACGGGUGGUUUAACCGGGCCACUUCGAGAGGUUGCCUUCCUUUCUCUGGUCCUCAUGGGAUUCCCCCUUAACUUCCGCAUCCAGAGUGUCCAAUCCUCUCCACGAAAACCCAAGUAAAACGGCUUUUCUUCUGGGCUUCUGGCGUUUUGGUUUCUGUGGUCAGCAGGUGGCAGUGUUGCUCCAAGUGUCACCAUCCCGUUUCUCCUCCGCCCUUUGCCUUUUAAAAAAACGAAAGGAAACCUUUUUACCAUUAGAAGCGGCAGAUAGUUUUCUCUGCUGGGGCAGCUUGGCUGGUUCAAACUGCAACUGAGCCCUUCAGAGAGCCCUUUGUGAAAACUUUGAACAAACCCUUUGACACUGAAAAUUACAAUAAAAAAAUAUAAGCUGAUGUAUUUAAUAAUGGUGGAAAGAGUGAGUUCCCUUGUCUUGCUUCUGAUCCUAGAGGAAAUAUUGUAUUUAAAUAGAAUUUUAUGAUGACAGUGAUUUUUGACUUGAAAAUGUGUAAGUGACGUGGAAAUGAAAGUUGCUCGGUCCUGUCAGGUUCUUGAAGACCCCUUGGACAAUAGAAGGGGAAAGACUAGAGAUCUCUUCAAGAAAAUUAGAGAUACCAAGGGAACAUUUCAUGCAAAUAUGGAAUCAAUAAAGGGCAGAAAUGCUAGGGACCUAACAGUAGCAGAAGAUAAGAAGAGGUGGCAAGAAUACUCAGAAGAACUGUACAAAAAAGAUCUUCACGACCUAGAUAAUCACGAUGGUGUGAUCACUCACCUAGAGCCAGAAAUCGUGGAAUGUGAAGUCAAGUGGGCCUUAGGAAGCAUCACUAUGAACAAAGCUAGUGGAGGUGAUCGAAUAGGUUGAGCUAUUCCAAAUCCUGAAAGACGAUGCUGUGAAAGUGCUCCACUCAAUACGCCAGCAAAUUUGGAAAACUUACCAGUGACCACAGAGCUGGAAAAGGUCAGUUUUCAUUCCAAUCCCAAAGAAAGGAAACCCCAAAGAACGCUCAAACUACCGCACAAUUGCACUCAUCUCACACGCUAGUAAAGUGAUGCUUAAAAUUCCCCAAGCCCGGCUUCAGCAAUACAUGAACUGCAAACUUCCAGAUGUUCAAGCUGGUU